rnacentral:rRNA from 1 species
GACGAACGCUGGCGGCGUGCUUAACACAUGCAAGUCGAACGAAGUGGCGAACGGGUGAGUAACGCGUAAUCAACCUGCCCUUCAGAGGGGGACAACAGUUGGAAACGACUGCUCAUACCGCAUACUGAAGUAGGGGAUUUAGUCUGCUUAGCUAGUUGGAGGGGUAACGGCCCACCAAGGCGAUGAUCAGUAGACGGUCUGAGAGGAUGAACGGCCACAUUGGGACUGGGACACGGCCCAGACUCCUACGGGAGGGAGCAGUGGGGAAUCUUCCGCAAUGGACGAAAGUCUGACGGAGCAACGCCGGGUGAGUGAUGACGGCCUUCGGGUUGUAAAGCUCUGUUAAUCGGGACGCGGUACCGGAAUAGAAAGCCACGGCUAACUACGUGCCAGCAGCCGCGGUAAUUC